rnacentral:rRNA from 1 species
UGUCCUACGGGGCGCAGCAGUGGGGAAUAUUGCACAAUGGGGGAAACCCUGAUGCAGCGACGCCGCGUGAAGGAAGAAGUAUUUCGGUAUGUAAACUUCUGUCAGCAGGGAAGAAAAUGACGGUACCUGACUAAGAAGCCCCGGCUAACUACGUGCCAGCAGCCGCGGUAAUACGUAGGGGGCAAGCGUUAUCCGGAUUUACUGGGUGUAAAGGGAGCGCAGGCGGCGCGUUAAGCCUGGUGUGAAAGCCCGCGGCCCAACCGCGGGACUGCAUUGGGAACUGGCGCGCUGGAGUGCCGGAGGGG